rnacentral:rRNA from 1 species
AUAUCAAUAAGCGGAGGAAAAGAAACUAACAAGGAUUCCCCUAGUAACUGCGAGUGAAGCGGGAAAAGCUCAAAUUUAAAAUCUGACGGUCUCCGGCCGUCCGAGUUGUAGUCUGGAGAAGCGUUUUCCGCGUCGGCCCGUGUACAAGUUUCCUGGAACGGAGCGUCAUAGAGGGUGAGAAUCCCGUCUCUGACACGGACCGCCGAUGCUUUGUGAUGCGCUCUCGAAGAGUCGAGUUGUUUGGGAAUGCAGCUCAAAAUGGGUGGUGAAUUCCAUCUAAAGCUAAAUAUUGGCGAGAGACCGAUAGCGAACAAGUACCGUGAGGGAAAGAUGAAAAGCACUUUGGAAAGAGAGUUAAACAGUACGUGAAAUUGUUGAAAGGGAAACGCUUGAAGUCAGUCGCGUCCGCCGGGACUCAGCCUUGCAAUCUUGCUUGGUGUACUUUCUGGUGGACGGGCCAGCAUCAAUUUUGGUCGCCGGACAAAGGCUGGAGAAAUGUGGCACCUUCGGGUGUGUUAUAGUCUCUGGUCGCAUACGGCGGUCGGGAUUGAGGAACUCAGCAUGCCUUUUAUGGUCGGGGUUCGCCCACGUUCAUGCUUAGGAUGCUGGCGUAAUGGCUUUAAACGACCCGUCUUGAAACACGGACCAAGGAGUCUAACAUGCCCGCGAGUGUUCGGGUGGAAAACCCGUGCGCGUAAUGAAAGUGAAAGUUGGGACCUCUGUCGUGGAGGGCACCGACGCCCGGACCAGAACUUCUGUGACGGAUCUGCGGUAGAGCGUGUAUGUUGGGACCCGAAAGAUGGUGAACUAUGCCUGAAUAGGGUGAAGCCAGAGGAAACUCUGGUGGAGGCUCGUAGCGAUUCUGACGUGCAAAUCGAUCGUCAAAUUUGGGUAUAGGGGCGAAAGACUAAUCGAACCAUCUAGUAGCUGGUUCCUGC